AAACCGGGCACGUAGGUGAGACGUGAAAACACCCGAUCCCAUUCCGACCUCGAUAUGUGAAACCGUCUUGCGCCAUAUGUACUGAGAUUAUUCGGGAGACAUGGUCCCAGCCCGGUAA
rnacentral:rRNA from 1 species